AGCGUACACGGUGGAUGCCCUGGCAGUCAGAGGCGAUGAAGGACGUGCUAAUCUGCGAUAAGCGUCGGUAAGGUGAUAUGAACCGUUAUAACCGGCGAUUUCCGAAUGGGGAAACCCAGUGUGAUUCGUCACACUAUCAUUAACUGAAUCCAUAGGUUAAUGAGGCGAACCGGGGGAACUGAAACAUCUAAGUACCCCGAGGAAAAGAAAUCAACCGAGAUUCCCCCAGUAGCGGCGAGCGAACGGGGAGCAGCCCAGAGCCUGAAUCAGUGUGUGUGUUAGUGGAAGCGUCUGGAAAGGCGCGCGAUACAGGGUGACAGCCCCGUACACAAAAAUGCACAUGCUGUGAGCUCGAUGAGUAGGGCGGGACACGUGGUAUCCUGUCUGAAUAUGGGGGGACCAUCCUCCAAGGCUAAAUACUCCUGACUGACCGAUAGUGAACCAGUACCGUGAGGGAAAGGCGAAAAGAACCCCGGCGAGGGGAGUGAAAAAGAACCUGAAACCGUGUACGUACAAGCAGUGGGAGCACAGAGCAAUCUGUGUGACUGCGUACCUUUUGUAUAAUGGGUCAGCGACUUAUAUUCUGUAGCAAGGUUAACCGAAUAGGGGAGCCGAAGGGAAACCGAGUCUUAACUGGGCGUUAAGUUGCAGGGUAUAGACCCGAAACCCGGUGAUCUAGCCAUGGGCAGGUUGAAGGUUGGGUAACACUAACUGGAGGACCGAACCGACUAAUGUUGAAAAAUUAGCGGAUGACUUGUGGCUGGGGGUGAAAGGCCAAUCAAACCGGGAGAUAGCUGGUUCUCCCCGAAAGCUAUUUAGGUAGCGCCUCGUGAAUUCAUCUCCGGGGGUAGAGCACUGUUUCGGCAAGGGGGUCAUCCCGACUUACCAACCCGAUGCAAACUACGAAUACCGGAGAAUGUUAUCACGGGAGACACACGGCGGGUGCUAACGUCCGUCGUGAAGAGGGAAACAACCCAGACCGCCAGCUAAGGUCCCAAAGUCAUGGUUAAGUGGGAAACGAUGUGGGAAGGCCCAGACAGCCAGGAUGUUGGCUUAGAAGCAGCCAUCAUUUAAAGAAAGCGUAAUAGCUCACUGGUCGAGUCGGCCUGCGCGGAAGAUGUAACGGGGCUAAACCAUGCACCGAAGCUGCGGCAGCGACGCUUAUGCGUUGUUGGGUAGGGGAGCGUUCUGUAAGCCUGCGAAGGUGUGCUGUGAGGCACGCUGGAGGUAUCAGAAGUGCGAAUGCUGACAUAAGUAACGAUAAAGCGGGUGAAAAGCCCGCUCGCCGGAAGACCAAGGGUUCCUGUCCAACGUUAAUCGGGGCAGGGUGAGUCGACCCCUAAGGCGAGGCCGAAAGGCGUAGUCGAUGGGAAACAGGUUAAUAUUCCUGUACUUGGUGUUACUGCGAAGGGGGGACGGAGAAGGCUAUGUUGGCCGGGCGACGGUUGUCCCGGUUUAAGCGUGUAGGCUGGUUUUCCAGGCAAAUCCGGAAAAUCAAGGCUGAGGCGUGAUGACGAGGCACUACGGUGCUGAAGCAACAAAUGCCCUGCUUCCAGGAAAAGCCUCUAAGCAUCAGGUAACAUCAAAUCGUACCCCAAACCGACACAGGUGGUCAGGUAGAGAAUACCAAGGCGCUUGAGAGAACUCGGGUGAAGGAACUAGGCAAAAUGGUGCCGUAACUUCGGGAGAAGGCACGCUGAUAUGUAGGUGAAGUCCCUCGCGGAUGGAGCUGAAAUCAGUCGAAGAUACCAGCUGGCUGCAACUGUUUAUUAAAAACACAGCACUGUGCAAACACGAAAGUGGACGUAUACGGUGUGACGCCUGCCCGGUGCCGGAAGGUUAAUUGAUGGGGUUAGCGCAAGCGAAGCUCUUGAUCGAAGCCCCGGUAAACGGCGGCCGUAACUAUAACGGUCCUAAGGUAGCGAAAUUCCUUGUCGGGUAAGUUCCGACCUGCACGAAUGGCGUAAUGAUGGCCAGGCUGUCUCCACCCGAGACUCAGUGAAAUUGAACUCGCUGUGAAGAUGCAGUGUACCCGCGGCAAGACGGAAAGACCCCGUGAACCUUUACUAUAGCUUGACACUGAACAUUGAGCCUUGAUGUGUAGGAUAGGUGGGAGGCUUAGAAGUGUGGACGCCAGUCUGCAUGGAGCCGACCUUGAAAUACCACCCUUUAAUGUUUGAUGUUCUAACGUUGACCCGUAAUCCGGGUUGCGGACAGUGUCUGGUGGGUAGUUUGACUGGGGCGGUCUCCUCCUAAAGAGUAACGGAGGAGCACGAAGGUUGGCUAAUCCUGGUCGGACAUCAGGAGGUUAGUGCAAUGGCAUAAGCCAGCUUGACUGCGAGCGUGACGGCGCGAGCAGGUGCGAAAGCAGGUCAUAGUGAUCCGGUGGUUCUGAAUGGAAGGGCCAUCGCUCAACGGAUAAAAGGUACUCCGGGGAUAACAGGCUGAUACCGCCCAAGAGUUCAUAUCGACGGCGGUGUUUGGCACCUCGAUGUCGGCUCAUCACAUCCUGGGGCUGAAGUAGGUCCCAAGGGUAUGGCUGUUCGCCAUUUAAAGUGGUACGCGAGCUGGGUUUAGAACGUCGUGAGACAGUUCGGUCCCUAUCUGCCGUGGGCGCUGGAGAACUGAGGGGGGCUGCUCCUAGUACGAGAGGACCGGAGUGGACGCAUCACUGGUGUUCGGGUUGUCAUGCCAAUGGCACUGCCCGGUAGCUAAAUGCGGAAGAGAUAAGUGCUGAAAGCAUCUAAGCACGAAACUUGCCCCGAGAUGAGUUCUCCCUGACUCCUUGA
rnacentral:rRNA from 1 species